rnacentral:rRNA from 1 species
GACGUAGGGCGCGAGCGUUGUCCGGAUUCAUUGGGCGUAAAGAGCUCGUAGGCGGCUUGGCAAGUCGGGUGUGAAACCUCCAGGCUCAACCUGGAGACGCCACCCGAUACUGCCAUGGCUAGAGUCCGGUAGGGGACCACGGAAUUCCUGGUGUAGCGGUGAAAUGCGCAGAUAUCAGGAGGAACACCGGUGGCGAAGGCGGUGGUCUGGGCCGGAACUGACGCUGAGGAGCGAAAGCGUGGGGAGCGAACAGG